UUUCCGUAGGUGAACCUGCGGAAGGAUCAUUACUGUUUGCUUACGGCUGCCCCUCGGGACAGCCCGUAACGCUCACCCUUUGCCCUUUUCGAACCUGUUUGUUCCCCCUCGCCGGGCUCGCCCGGCGGGGGUCCAUUCAAAAACCUUGCAGUACAGCAGUACCUGUCUGAAAUAUAUCAAAUGUUAAAACUUUCAACAAUGGAUCUCUUGGUUCUGGCAUCGAUGAAGAACGCAGC
rnacentral:misc_RNA from 1 species